rnacentral:ncRNA from 1 species
GACAGGUUUGGUCCUGGCCUUUUUAUUAGCUUUCAGUAGACUUACACAUGCAAGCAUCCCCGCCCCAGUGAGAAUGCCCUCUAUCUCCAGACAGGAUCAAAAGGAGCAGGUAUCAAGUUCGCUCUUCACGAGCUGCUCACAACACCUUGCAACGCCACACCCCCACGGGAUACAGCAGUGAUUAAAAUUAAAACAUAAACGAAAGUUUGAUUAAGUCAUACUAAUACUAGGGUUGGUAAAUUUCGUGCCAGCCACCGCGGUCAUACGAUUAACCCUAGUUAAUAAAAUACGGCGUAGAGCGUGAUUAAGGUUUAAUUCUAAAUAAGAUUAAGCUUUAGCUAAGCUGUAAAAAGCCCUAGCUAGCAUAAAAAUAUACAACGAAAGUAAUCUUAAAACCCCUGAAUUCACGAUAGCUAAGACCCAAACUGGGAUUAGAUACCCCACUAUGCUUAGCCCUAAACAUCAAUACUCAAAUAACAAGACUAUUCGCCAGAGAACUACUAGCCAUUGCUUAAAACUCAAAGGACUUGGCGGUGCUUUAUACCCCUCUAGAGGAGCCUGUUCUAUAAUCGAUAAACCCCGCUUAACCUCACCACUCUUUGCAAUAUCAGCCUAUAUACCGCCAUCUUCAGCAAACCCUAACAAGGCACUGUAGUAAGCACAAGAAUUUUACAUAAAAACGUUAGGUCAAGGUGUAGCCUAUAGAGUGGGAAGAAAUGGGCUACAUUUUCUAUCCUCCUAGAAUAUCUUACGAUAGCUGUUAUGAAAUAUAACAAGCCCGAGGCGGAUUUAGUAGUAAGUUGGGAACAGAGUGCUCAACUGAAUCGGGCAAUAAAGCACGCACACACCGCCCGUCACCCUCCUCAAGCACUCAAGACCAUCACAUAUAGCUAAUAUCACAGGUCCCUAAAUGCAAGAAGAGACAAGUCGUAACAAGGUAAACAUACUGGAAAGUGUGUUUGGAAUAUC